UACAGAGGUCUCAAGCGUUGUUCGGAUUCAUUGGGCGUAAAGGGUGCGUAGGCGGCGCGGUAAGUCGGGUGUGAAAUCUCGGGGCUUAACUCCGAAACUGCAUUCGAUACUGCUCUGCUUGAGGACUGGGAGAGGAGACUGGAAUUCACGGUGUAGCAGUGAAAUGCGUAGAUAUCGUGAGGAAGACCAGUGGCGAAGGCGGGUCUCUGGGGCCGGAACUGGAC
rnacentral:rRNA from 1 species